rnacentral:misc_RNA from 1 species
GAUGAAGAACGCAGCGAAAUGCGAUAAGUAAUGUGAAUUGCAGAAUUCAGUGAAUCAUCGAAUCUUUGAACGCACCUUGCGCUCCUUGGCAUUCCGAGGAGCAUGCCUGUUUGAGUGUCAUUAAAUUCUCAAGACCUGUCUGCUUUUUUGAUAGGUAUUGGAUUUUGGGGGUUGCAGGCUGUUUCAAAUAAAUAGCCUUGCUCUCCUUGAAUGUAUUAGUGGAGAAAAGCCAUUGAACUCCAUUGGUGUGAUAAAACCUAUCAAUGCCAGGAGCAAUAUCACUACUUCUCUCUGCUGUCUAACUGUGACUGUCUGUAUUAAUUAGUAUGGAUGGGGACAACUUAACCAACUUGACCUCAAAUCAGGUAGGACUACCCGCUGAACUUAAGCAUAUCAAUAAGCGGAGGA